GCGCUCCCGAGAGGUGCAACACAGGCAAGGAGAAGAGCGGCGCGUGGUGUGGUUGAGGAAGAAAGAGCUCCCGGCGCUCAAGCUUCGGAUUCGACUGGCAUGGACUUGGAGCUUGAACGGCUACUUGGUGAGCAUAGAGAAGGGAUGGUGGUCAGAACUGGGUUGAGAUGCCACCACGGGCUGUACCCAAUCUUGUGUUGUAACUGGUCUGGUUCAACUGUAGGUCGGAGGUUCUUGUCUUGCUCCCAAGUUGAGCAGCCAUGCGAGUUCAAGUACUGGAUCGACCAAGAGUUUUCUGGCAGAGCAAGAAGGGUGAUCGAAGACUUGGUGUCUUUGAGACAGAGCAUGAUAGAGUUAUUUGUGAAUUCUUCUGAACAAUGGGAUGCCAUGUAUGCUCAACGACAGGGAGCAUGAAAAGAAAUUCGUGAACUGAAAUCUACAAUUAGUGAACAACGUAGUUGCAUUAUGUUGUUGUUGUGUUUCUGUAUUGUAAUCGGUGGAGGCCUAUGGCUGAUUUUGUAAUGUUCUGAAAUGUAAGCAUGUCUCCAAUAGAUAUAAUGAAUCAGUCGUGUCACUUGCCAGCAA